CAGCCGCCGCGGGAAUACAGAGAGUGCAAGCGUUAAUCGGAAUUACUGGGCGUAAAGCGCGCGUAGGUGGUUUGUUAAGUUGGAUGUGAAAUCCCCGGGCUCAACCUGGGAACUGCAUCCAAAACUGGCAAGCUAGAGUAUGGUAGAGGGUGGUGGAAUUUCCUGUGUAGCGGUGAAAUGCGUAGAUAUAGGAAGGAACACCAGUGGCGAAGGCGACCACCUGGACUGAUACUGACACUGAGGUGCGAAAGCGUGGGGAGCAAACAGGAUUAGAUACCCCUGUAGUCCCUGUCUCUUAUAC
rnacentral:rRNA from 1 species